rnacentral:tRNA from 1 species
GCCUGGCUGGCUGAGUCGGUAGAGCAUGUGACUCUUGAUCUCAAGGUCAUGAGUUUGAGCCCCACGCUGGGUG